ACGAACGCUGGCGGCACGCUUAACACAUGCAAGUCGAACGAGAGAAGAGAAGCUUGCUUUUCUGAUCUAGUGGCGGACGGGUGAGUAACACGUGAGCAAUCUGCCUUUCAGAGGGGGAUACCGAUUGGAAACGAUCGUUAAUACCGCAUAACAUAAUUGAACCGCAUGAUUUGAUUAUCAAAGAUUUAUCGCUGAAAGAUGAGCUCGCGUCUGAUUAGCUAGUUGGUAAGGUAACGGCUUACCAAGGCGACGAUCAGUAGCCGGACUGAGAGGUUGAUCGGCCACAUUGGGACUGAGACACGGCCCAGACUCCUACGGGAGGCAGCAGUGGGGAAUAUUGCACAAUGGAGGAAACUCUGAUGCAGCGAUGCCGCGUGAGGGAAGAAGGUUUUAGGAUUGUAAACCUCUAUCUUCAGGGACGAAAAAAGACGGUACCUGAGGAGGAAGCUCCGGCUAACUACGUGCCAGCAGCCGCGGUAAUACGUAGGGAGCGAGCGUUGUCCGGAAUUACUGGGUGUAAAGGGAGCGUAGGCGGGAUCGCAAGUCAGAUGUGAAAACUAUGGGCUUAACCCAUAAACUGCAUUUGAAACUGUGGUUCUUGAGUGAAGUAGAGGUAAGCGGAAUUCCUAGUGUAGCGGUGAAAUGCGUAGAUAUUAGGAGGAACAUCAGUGGCGAAGGCGGCUUACUGGGCUUUAACUGACGCUGAGGCUCGAAAGCGUGGGGAGCAAACAGGAUUAGAUACCCUGGUAGUCCACGCCGUAAACGAUGAUUACUAGGUGUGGGGGGACUGACCCCUUCCGUGCCGCAGCAAACGCAAUAAGUAAUCCACCUGGGGAGUACGACCGCAAGGUUGAAACUCAAAGGAAUUGACGGGGGCCCGCACAAGCAGUGGAGUAUGUGGAUUAAUUCGAAGCAACGCGAAGAACCUUACCAGGUCUUGACAUCGUAUGCAUAGCUCAGAGAUGAGUGAAAUCUCUUCGGAGACAUAUAGACAGGUGGUGCAUGGUUGUCGUCAGCUCGUGUCGUGAGAUGUUGGGUUAAGUCCCGCAACGAGCGCAACCCUUACUGUUAGUUGCUACGCAAGAGCACUCUAGCAGGACUGCCGUUGACAAAACGGAGGAAGGUGGGGAUGACGUCAAAUCAUCAUGCCCCUUAUGACCUGGGCCUCACACGUACUACAAUGGCUGUCAACAGAGGGAAGCAAAGCCGCGAGGUGGAGCAAACCCCUAAAAGCAGUCUUAGUUCGGAUUGUAGGCUGCAACCCGCCUACAUGAAGUCGGAAUUGCUAGUAAUCGCAGAUCAGCAUGCUGCGGUGAAUACGUUCCCGGGCCUUGUACACACCGCCCGUCACGCCAUGGGAGUCGGUAACACCCGAAGCCUGUAGUCUAACCGCAAGGAGGACGCAGUCGAAGGUGGGAUUGAUGACUGGGGUG
rnacentral:rRNA from 1 species